UGCUCAGAGUUUUAAUUGCCGUGCGCGCUUCUUCAGCAGUAGAGUACUCAAUUAUCGCGCAUCCCUGAUAUAUUAGCUAGACUAUUCACAAUCUGAGUAUACGACAAAUUUUAGGAUAAGCUAUAGGCCAUAAGUAAUCGUUUAAAAGUAACGUUCAAUUGGAUCGAUUCAACGUUACAAUUUAAAUAGACAAUGAUUUACUAGUCGCAUGAAACCCACCCUCUAUGAAGCAAACUUACCUUCGAUAAUCCAUUCGGAAGAUUCAAAAUCUCACAAUUAAGAACAUUGCCAACUUGUCCCAUAAACUCUUUCAACUCAAACCAACGAACUUGAUAUGACAAAUUACCAACAUACACGCGACGCUCUUGUUGAGUGUACUUUUGGCCAUUUCCCAAGUGAGGGUCUCUUUCAGUGUGCUCUCCAUCAAAAUGCAAGCCACGUUUCAAUGAAUUGCUUCCGUUGACAUGUCGCUUCGGAGACUCCGAUCUGUCACGAUCCAUAUUGGAAGACGAUGAAUUCAAGGAACUUGACACAUCCAACUUACUACCCAUUCCUGAAUCAAAUUCAUUCUAUUUGA